rnacentral:miRNA from 1 species
CGUUGGGUCCGCCGAUAUUCUC